rnacentral:sRNA from 1 species
AAGAUCUUAUAAUAACAUUUGAAUAGAUCUUAAAAAACAACAACAACCGAUAACAUAUAGCUGUGGUGUUUUUGCCGUAGAAAAUAACAGCACCACGUGCUACCUUCAGACUAACGACAGUGCCAACUACCCAGAAUGCUGCGAGCCUGUCUUGUACUGCAUAGGAUCCGCUGGCUUCGACCCAUCUAAGCUACAGACUCCAACUACAACGGCCAGCACAAACGCUUCUGUCACAAAACCAAAAAUUACACCUAAGCCCGCAAAGAAACCGACACCCAAGCCAACAAGGAAACCUGCGCUAAGGGCUACACCUAAACCUGCCUCUAGGCCUACACCAAAACCGGUACCCAAACCUGCACAAAAACCUCAAGUAAAUAGAAGGAGGUAAAAAUAGAAUCCAUUACGUCACCGAUCUAGUUCAUUACUACGCCAAAGCUAUUAAGAAUGGAAAGAUGUUUAUGUUAAAAAAUAAAGACGACUUAUAAGGGAAAUAUUAUAGACAUCAAGUUGAUGUAAAUGUAAUAUUAAAAUAAUACAGAUGUUUAGUCCUAUAU